rnacentral:rRNA from 2 species
UGGCUCAGAUUGAACGCUAGCGGGAUGCCUUACACAUGCAAGUCGAACGGCAGCACGGACUUCGGUCUGGUGGCGAGUGGCGAACGGGUGAGUAAUGUAUCGGAACGUGCCUAGUAGCGGGGGAUAACUACGCGAAAGCGUAGCUAAUACCGCAUACGCCCUACGGGGGAAAGCAGGGGAUCGCAAGACCUUGCACUAUUAGAGCGGCCGAUAUCGGAUUAGCUAGUUGGUGGGGUAACGGCUCACCAAGGCGACGAUCCGUAGCUGGUUUGAGAGGACGACCAGCCACACUGGGACUGAGACACGGCCCAGACUCCUACGGGAGGCAGCAGUGGGGAAUUUUGGACAAUGGGGGAAACCCUGAUCCAGCCAUCCCGCGUGUGCGAUGAAGGCCUUCGGGUUGUAAAGCACUUUUGGCAGGAAAGAAACGUCGUGGGUUAAUACCCCGCGAAACUGACGGUACCUGCAGAAUAAGCACCGGCUAACUACGUGCCAGCAGCCGCGGUAAUACGUAGGGUGCAAGCGUUAAUCGGAAUUACUGGGCGUAAAGCGUGCGCAGGCGGUUCGGAAAGAAAGAUGUGAAAUCCCAGAGCUUAACUUUGGAACUGCAUUUUUAACUACCGAGCUAGAGUGUGUCAGAGGGAGGUGGAAUUCCGCGUGUAGCAGUGAAAUGCGUAGAUAUGCGGAGGAACACCGAUGGCGAAGGCAGCCUCCUGGGAUAACACUGACG